AUUGAACGCUGGCGGCAGGCUUAACACAUGCAAGUCGAGCGGUAGAGGGGAGCUUGCUUCCCUUGAGAGCGGCGGAAGGGUGAGUAAUGCCUAGGAAUCUGCAUGGGAGUGGGGUACAACGUUCGGAAACGGACGCUAAUACCGCAUACGUCCUACGGGAGAAAGUGGGGGACCUUCGGACCUCACGCUAUCAGAUGAGCCUAGGUCGGAUUGGCUAGUAGGCAGGGUAAAGGCCUACAACGGCGACGAUCCGUAACUGGGCUGAGAGGAUGAUCAGUCACACUGGAACUGAGACCCGGUCCAGACUCCUACGGGAGGCAGCAGCGGGGAAUAUUGGACAAUGGGCGCAAGCCUGAUCCAGCCAUGCCGCGUGUGUGAAGAAGGUCUUCGGAUUGUAAAGCACUUUAAGUUGGGAGGAAGUUCAGUAAGUUAAUACCUUGUUGAAUUGACGUUACCGACAGAAUAAGCACCGGCUAACUACGUGCCAGCAGCCGCCGUAACAC
rnacentral:rRNA from 1 species